rnacentral:rRNA from 1 species
GAUCAUGGCUCAGAACGAACGCUGGCGGCAGGCUUAACACAUGCAAGUCGAACGCUCGUAGCAAUACGGGAGUGGCGGACGGGUGAGUAACGCGUGGGAACGUGCCCUGAGGUACGGAAUAACUGAGGGAAAACUUCAGCUAAUACCGUAUGAGCCCCGAGAGGGGGAAAGAUUUAUCGCCUUGGGAGCGGCCCGCGUCGGAUUAGCUAGUUGGUGGGGUAACGGGCCUACCAAGGCUUCGAUCCGUAGCCGGUCUGAGAGGACGAUCAGCCACACUGGGACUGAGACACGGCCCAGACUCCUACGGGAGGCAGCAGUGGGGAAUCUUGCGCAAUGGGGGCAACCCUGACGCAGCCAUGCCGCGUGAACGAUGAAGGCCUUAGGGUUGUAAAGUUCUUUUACCCGUGACGAUGAUGACGGUAACGGGGAAUAAGCUCCGGCUAACUUCGUG